rnacentral:rRNA from 1 species
CAAGUCGAGCGGUAACAGGUCUAGCUUGCUAGACGCUGACGAGCGGCGGACGGGUGAGUAAUGCAUAGGAAUCUGCCCGAUAGUGGGGGAUAACCUGGGGAAACCCAGGCUAAUACCGCAUACGUCCUACGGGAGAAAGGGGGCUUCGGCUCCCGCUAUUGGAUGAGCCUAUGUCGGAUUAGCUAGUUGGUGAGGUAAUGGCUCACCAAGGCAGCGAUCCGUAGCUGGUCUGAGAGGAUGAUCAGCCACAUCGGGACUGAGACACGGCCCGAACUCCUACGGGAGGCAGCAGUGGGGAAUAUUGGACAAUGGGGGCAACCCUGAUCCAGCCAUGCCGCGUGUGUGAAGAAGGCCCUCGGGUUGUAAAGCACUUUCAGCGAGGAAGAACGCCUGUCGGUUAAUACCCGGCAGGAAAGACAUCACUCGCAGAAGAAGCACCGGCUAACUCCGUGCCAGCAGCCGCGGUAAUACGGAGGGUGCAAGCGUUAAUCGGAAUUACUGGGCGUAAAGCGCGCGUAGGUGGCUUGAUAAGCCGGUUGUGAAAGCCCCGGGCUCAACCUGGGAACGGCAUCCGGAACUGUCAGGCUAGAGUGCAGGAGAGGAAGGUAGAAUU